AACGCAUUAAUGUGUAAGCUUUAAUCGGAGAGAUUUGUACAAAGAAAGUGGCUGAACAGCGCGCUUGAUCCUUGUAGCACUGUCAUCAUGCUUGCGUCUGUUGAUAUUCCAGAGUAUCUUGUUAGGCUGAGGUAUGAAAAAGGAAAGCAUUUGAGUUGGCAUCCUAUUGAAAUGGAUUUGAGAGAUAAUAUGGUUUUCACAGUAGGAUUUAGAGAAACAGUAAAAAGCAUGUGAAGGUAAAGCUAUGCGUUCUUUUCCUACAUUUUCAUCAAAACUCAGAAUCCGCAUACUCUCCUUAAAGAAAAAUAUAUACCACAUACUUUAAAUGAAAUUGUUCCUAUUAUUGCUGCAUAUGAACAUGUUUUCUCCCGGAAGUGAUCUAAAGGAACCGAGAGGUUAUAGCAUUCUUCUCACCAUUGUGGAUUUCAUGAGCAAUCAAGAGAAUAUUCAAAGUUGCAUUUGGACUCAGAGGUUUGUUUUCUAUAUAUUAGCGUGUGUGAUGUCUUGUGAUGUCGUGUGACUCGCAUAGC